rnacentral:rRNA from 1 species
AGAGUUUGAUCAUGGCUCAGAGCGAACGUUAGCGGCGGGCCUAACACAUGCAAGUCGAACGAGAAAAUCCCUUCGGGGGUGAGUACAGUGGCGCACGGGUGAGGAACGCGUAGGUAAUCUACCCUCUGGCGGGGGACAACACUCCGAAAGGAAUGCUAAUACCGCGUAAGACCACACCUACUACGGUAGGAGCGGUUAAAGGUGCCUCAAAGCACCACCAGAGGAUGAGCCUGCGUCCCAUCAGCUUGUUGGUAAGGUAACGGCUUACCAAGGCGAAGACGGGUAGCUGGUCUGAGAGGAUGAUCAGCCACACUGGUACUGGAACACGGACCAGACUCCUACGGGAGGCAGCAGUGAGGAAUAUUGGGCAAUGGGCGAAAGCCUGACCCAGCCACGCCGCGUGUGUGAUGAAGGCCUUCGGGUCGUAAAGCACUGUGGGGAGAGACGAAACAGCGCAUCAGGAAAUGGUUGCGCCUUGACGGUACCUCCUUAGCAAGCACCGGCUAACUCUGUGCCAGCAGCCGCGGUAAUACAGAGGGUGCAAACGUUGCUCGGAUUUACUGGGCGUAAAGCGCGUGUAGGCGGACUCGCAAGUCGGUUGUGAAAUCCCUGGGCUCAACCUAGGAACUGCAUCCGAAACUGCUUGUCUUGAGUAAUGGAGAGGGUGGCGGAAUUCCCGGUGUAGAGGUGAAAUUCGUAGAUAUCGGGAGGAACAUCAGUGGCGAAGGCGGCCACCUGGACAUUUACUGACGCUGAGACGCGAAAGCGUGGGGAGCAAACAGGAUUAGAUACCCUGGUAGUCCACGCCGUAAACGAUGAGCAUUAGGUGCAGCGGAUAUUGACCUCUGCUGUGCCGUAGCUAACGCGUUAAAUGCUCCGCCUGGGGAGUACGGCCGCAAGGCUAAAACUCCAAGGGAAUUGACGGGGGGCCCCCACAAACAGUGGGAGCAUGUGGGUUUAUUUUUAAGCAACGCGCCGAAACCUUUCCACGGGGUGGAAAAAAUGGGGAAUCCUGGCGAAACAUCCGGGAGUGGUCUCCAAGAGAACACAAGGCCCAGGUGGUUGAAUGGGUGUCUUCAACCUCCCGCCCCGAGAAGAUU